CCGUAGGUUAACUGCAAAGGACAUUACUGUUGGUACCCGGGGGCCCCAUCGCCCCCGGACCCUCCACCCGUGUCUACCGAACACUUGUUGCCUCGGUCAGCCUAACGUGUUUGAAGUGUGCCUCCGGGUGCGCUCCGCUCACGGGGCCUGGAUUUCUGUGAUCUUUUCCCCUGGCACGCCGAUGCAUACCCGCCCAUGUCGUGGUCUGAUGAUUCCUUGCAACCUGGGCUGCUGCAUUGGAUGCACGCCUGGUGUUCCUGUGUCUCUAGGAGUCCCGUCGACGGAGGGAUGUUGUUGGUAUGGGGUCAAGAUCCCCUAAAUCCAGGAUGUGAAUUGCUGGCCGAUGGCACCCCUGAACCUCUGUGAAUGAAGCAGUCUGAGUGUGAUGUUAAUCGUUAAAACUUUCAACAAUGGAUCUCUUGGUUCCCGCAUCGAUGAAGAACGCAGCGAAAUGCGAUAACUAAUGUGAAUUGCAGAAUUCCGUGAAUCAUCGAGUCUUUGAACGCACAUUGCGCCCCCUGGCAUUCCGGGGGGCAUGCCUGUCCGAGCGUCAUUGCACCCCUCAAGCACAGCUUGGUGUUGGGUGACCGUCCCCCGGGACGCGCCCCAAAUGCAUUGGCGGCACCGGCACUGGAGCCCGGAGCGUAUGGGAACCCCGUCACGCCCGCAGGACCCGGCCGGCGCUGGCCCUCAAUGAUCGCCAUCCAUCCUCGGUUUGACCUCGGAUCAGGUAGGGAUACCCGCUGAACUUAAGCAUAUCAAUAAGCG
rnacentral:sRNA from 1 species